CCUACGGGCGGCAGCAGUCGAGAAUCAUUCACAAUGGGGGAAACCCUGAUGGUGUGACGCCGCGUGGGGGAAUGAAGGUCUUCGGAUUGUAAACCCCUGUCAUGUGGGAGCAAAUUAAAAAGAUAGUACCACAAGAGGAAGAGACGGCUAACUCUGUGCCAGCAGCCGCGGUAAUACAGAGGUCUCAAGCGUUGUUCGGAAUCACUGGGCGUAAAGGGUGCGUAGGCUGUUUCGUAAGUCGUGUGUGAAAGGCGCGGGCUCAACCCGCGGACGGCACAUGAUACUGCGAGACUAGAGUAAUGGAGGGGGAACCGGAAUUCUCGGUGUAGCAGUGAAAUGCGUAGAUAUCGCGAGGAACACUCGUGGCGAAGGCGGGUUCCUGGACAUUAACUGACGCUGAGGCACGAAGGCCAGGGGAGCGAAAGGGAUUAGAUACCCGAGUAGUC
rnacentral:rRNA from 1 species